CCAAAAGCCAAGAGAACCAUAUAUGGUUUGGAUGUGGUCACGAUAUUUAUUUGUAAUAUGUUUCACAUAUAUUAACAAUAGAGGAUGACACUUGUUCAUACACCAAGUAUACCGUGCUCUGGUAGUUCUGUGAAGUCGGAGAAUACUGUCAAGGUUUUCCUAAUCUCUUUGGUCUUGGAAAGCUUGGACAGGCUUUCUCAAGCAAAACGUCUUGUGACCACUGCUUCAGCACUUCCAUUUCUGAAAGAAGUAACAAAGGGUGGAUUCGAGGAAGAUCAGAAAGACUCGGGCAUCUUACGUCCUGUUUAUUUUUCACACAAAUGCUGAAGACCGAAGGAAACCCGGCAGGGUAUUAGGCUCACAGCCUGAAGGGAAGUCAUAUCAUUGGCCAAAGUUUUCAUGUAAAGGUGGUCGAUCUCCAAGGCUCAGAAUCUGCUCCUGUAGCUCUCCGUGUAUGCUUAGAGGUGCUGAAGGCUGCAAAUAUGCCGAGGGGUGUUAAGGCUGUGAUCCUGCUGUGUAUCCUUUGUCUUGAUGCUGGUAAACUUGUAUGUCUUUGAGGCUAUCUUGACAAAACAGCAGGCGAACCUCCUUUCCCAGUGUCACUCUGUAAUCAAGCUAUUGGUGGAUGCCCCCCAAUGAUUGGAAGGAAUCCAAGGCACCAUGGACCAGAGUAAAGCAUAUUACCAACAACAGCAGGAAGAAAUGGGUCUAGCUACUAUCCAAAAAACGGCAGGUCUAAAAAUAAAUGUAAAUAGUGGGUCUUACUCUAGACAAGUGAUUUUAUCCCUUGGGAAUUGUCUGUUACUCCCUUUUAGUAGGUGUUAUUUUUUUACUCUGAAGACUACUUUAAAAACAUAUAAUAUUAGCACCAAGGCAGCAUAUUUCUCCCAGAGAUCACGUGAAACGGAAUAGAUACUAUAAUUAACAGUUGGUACAAUCAGUGAUGUUGCUAAUUCACUUACUGGCUAAUGAAACGUUCCCACAAUUGCCAAAAAUACCCUUAUUCAACUCACGUAGCACCUUGAUGACAGACAGCUAGGUUGUUAAAAAAAAAUAAUUACAAUUCUCAAAAUGUAACAGUAAAACACAUUUUCAGGUAAAAAGUAAACAACAGUGUACCGUGAUAAUGAAGGUCACUUUGUCAUAUACUACAUAUAAUGUAGAGUACGUAAAACGCAGUGGUCUGACAUGCACAGGCAGUCGCAAUAAAAUCAUUUUACGUACAAAAAUAUUACAUCACAAUAAAUAAUUUCAAACAUAAAUAUUAAACUUUACAUCAUUAGGGUAUUCCACAGGUUGAGUAUCACUUCCUUGAAAUGCUUGAGACCAUCAGGGUGUAGUUCAGACAUUUUGAAGACAUGGUGAUGUUUUCUUAUGCAAAAUGAGAUAUCUUGGGGAUGGGAUUAAAAUCUAAGCCUGGUAUUCAUUUACGCUUCUUUCUUAGUUGGGGUUUACUAAGAGAUUUGGGUAUAGAUUUUAAGCAGCAGAAGAGUGCAAUACAUGCCCAACAACAUGGGAUUUGGACCUGAUUAUUGUUUACUAUGUACCUUUACUUAUGUGACAGAAAUGUAAUUUUGAUUGGCACUUCAACAAAUUUUGUGUAUGAAACAAAGUUUCAUGGCAUGGAAAUUUCCACUUGAGAUCUUACACUGAGACUCAAAAGGUUUCAGAACUUGAAGCAUUUCAGUCUUUAAAUUUUUGGAUAAGGGAUGCUCAACCUGUAUAUAUUUAUAUAUAUAUAUUUAUAUAUAUAUUUAUAUAUAUGCAUAUGUACACACAUAUACACACACAUUCACACACACAAGCAGACAGGUUCACACACACGCACACAGAUGCACCCAAAUUUAAGGUGGAGGUAUUGAAUUACUAUCCUUCAUCCAUUCCAUAAUGGCUUCCUCUUCAGAGCCCCUGAAAGAAAUGAACCAGGAAUUACAAACCUUCUACACGAAAGGCUGAAAGUCAAAGGGUAGGUGAACCAGGCACUUCCACGGGAAGAAUUACAAAGUGUCACUAGGAUCUUGAAC
ensembl:lncRNA